AGCAGGCGGGUGCAGCCUGUCCCGCGUACCCAGGCGUCCUCGGUACCCACGAAACGGAUCCAAAGAGUCUCAACACUAAUGUAACAUCCCACCCUGACCCAUCUUUGCCCUCUGAGAAAAGCGGCCCGAAAUGAGUUGAGUUAUUCAUCCCCACCGCGGAGUCAGGGACAAGGAGCAGUUGAGUGGCCGAGGAGUGAGAGAGAAUCGAAUCCACUCGGGUCCUCCAAGCUGUUGGUUACCCACUUGGGCUUUCACAGCAAAGCUGCCAAAUCCCAGAAUUGAGGCCUCGGUGAAAAGCGCGCUGAGACUUGGGUAGGAGGCCCGGUGGGACCCGCGAGCUUUCUCUCCCAGCCCGAUGCAGCAGUUCAUUAAGCGGCUGUGUUUCCUCCUAACUGGCGAAGGACUCAGGUGGGCGGAGCAGAGCUCAGCUUGGGAGGAGGCGGACGCGAGUAGCUCGGCAGGGGGACUCGCUUGGCUUUCGUGCCAUCCGUGGACACAGUCGCGCGGGUCUUUGUGGGAAGAAACAAAUCACAAAAGCAAUUAAGAGAGCUCAAACAAUGGACAGCAAGACCCCCCGCAAGACAGCAAGACCCAACUCUCUUCUUUCUCUUCCUCCUCAUCCUACUCAACAUGAAGAUGACAAGGAUGAAGACCUUCAUG
rnacentral:lncRNA from 10 species